rnacentral:tRNA from 2 species
GGCUUUGUGGCGCAAUUGGUAGCGCGUCAGAUUCCAAAUCUGUAGGUUAUCCGUUCGAGUCGGGUCAGGGUCA